rnacentral:rRNA from 1 species
GAUGAACGCUGGCGGCGUGCCUAAUACAUGCAAGUCGAGCGAACGGACGAGAAGCUUGCUUCUCUGAUGUUAGCGGCGGACGGGUGAGUAACACGUGGAUAACCUACCUAUAAGACUGGGAUAACUUCGGGAAACCGGAGCUAAUACCGGAUGAUAUUUUGAACCGCAUGGUUCAAAAGUGAAAGACGGUCUUGCUGUCACUUAUAGAUGGAUCCGCGCUGCAUUAGCUAGUUGGUAAGGUAAUGGCUUACCAAGGCAACGAUGCAUAGCCGACCUGGGAGGCGGGUAGGCCACACUGGAACGGGACCACGGUCCAGAGUCCUAAGGGAGGCCGCAGUAGGGAAUCUUCCGCAAUGGGGGAAAGCCUGACGGAGCAAGCCCGAGUGAGUGAUGGAGGCCUUGGGAUCGGAAAACCCUGUUAUUGGGGAAGAACAUAUGUGUACGUAACUGUGCACAGCUUGACGGUACCUAAUAAGAAAGCCACGGCUAACUACGUG